CGUUCCCCCUCGUGCCGCCCCUUCCCCCUUCCGGCGCGGGAGAUCCGGUUCCUAUGGCUGCCCGCGCUUCACGGCUAGCGAGGGUUGGCGCUUGUGGACUGCUUAGCUGGAACACCCCCCCGUCUCCUACUCAAAACAUCAUUCAUUCAAAGGAGCGUUGGCUGAUGAGGAAGCCAUGUUUGUUUAGAAAUCCUACUUAGUCUAUUCAGGGUGGCGAUGACAGAUCCAAUCUUCUGUGGAAUGGUCUAGCUUUUGCAGUAGCAUCAAUAUCAGCAUUGCUCUUGUCACAGGAGCGAGUCAGCGCUGCUGAUGAACCACCCAGAGAGAUCACUGCAGAGGAUAUUGCUGCUUGGAUCAGGGAACUGCCUGAUGAUGAAGAGGACCAGUUCAUCAAAAGACAGCAAUUUGAUGCAUGGGUGAAGCAGUGCAACAAGGAAUACUCCAGUGAGUCUGCAAAAGAGUAUAGGUACCAUCUAUUCAAAGGAAGAUCGUCCUAUCUAGAGCUCUGCAGUAAAGUCAAAGAUGAGGCCUUUAGAAGACAAAUGACAAUGGCGGCAGAUCUUACUGAGGACUAGUUUAUUUUUAUGACCCGUCUUCCGCCUGACAGCGUUGAUUGGCGAGCGCUAGGUGCAGUAACCAGUGUAAGAGACCAGUUAGCCUGUGGAUCUUGCUGGGCCAUUGCACCUGUUGAAGCAACUGAAG